rnacentral:lncRNA from 10 species
AGAGAGAGUGAGCUCGGGGUAGAGGCAAGCCAGCCAGAUUGCGUCCAGCGGCAGUCGCUCCGCGGGGUUCCCAGAAGGCAGCGGGGAAACCCCGCCGCAAAGGUGCGCCCUGCGCGGGGACUCCGCGGCGCAUGCAGAGCUGGAAGCCAGUGGUGGGAUCCCCACCCAUCCUUGGAGACCGCUUCUGCCUCGAGUCCUCGAGUCUUGCUCUGUCACUCAGACUGGAGUACAGUGGAAGGAUCUCAGCUCACUGCAACCUCCCCUUCCUAGGUUCAAUUCUUGUGCCUCAGCCUCCUGAGAAGCUUGGAUUACAGGCAUGCGUGACCACACCAGGCUAAUUUUUGUAUUUUUAGUAGAGACAGGGAUUCGCCACGUUGGCCAGGCUAGUCUUGAACUCGUGGCCUCAAGCUAUCCACCCGCUUCAGCCUCCCAAAAUACUGAGAUUGCAGGGGUGAGCCACCACACCCAGCCCUCAAUCCUCACUUUUUAAUAGUCUAGUCCAGGGGUCAAUAAACUUAUUCUGCAAAGCACCAGAUUGUAUAUAUUUUAGGCUUUGUGGGCCAUAUGGCCUCUGUCACAACUACUCUGCUCUACAGGCAUGGAC